CUGGGAGGGAGGGCCAUCUUUGGUCUGAGCCUGGGUACCCGAAGUUCUGGAAGAUAACAGAUGCCUGUUCCAGAAUGAGGCAAAACAAUGCGUGGCUUUCUGCUAGCGUGUCAAAGCCUUCCAGUUUCAGCUCAGAUCAGCCAGACUCCAUCUUCAGUUCUGAUCACUGAAUUCAGACCAGUUACAUUCAGACACAGGGAGACAGCCUCUCAGGAAUGACCUGAUGGGAUGAAACAUCAAGGUUUGACUCAACCAGAUCUGACCCAACAAGCAGCGCUUAGAAUUAGAUCACAGUCUCUGCAUGCAUUAAGACUUACAGCCUACAGUAGCUCUGUUAGACUGCAGAGCAGCUAGGCUGGCUCUGAUUGAAAUUACCAUUUUGAUGCUCUGACCUUCAGAUCUCUUAACAAAGCAGAAAACGACCUGUCCACUUGUCCUUCUUGCUCUGGUGAGGCAGAGUGGCAUCAGCUCCAAGCCAGUGCAAUAUUUAACUUAAUCCAUGCUCCCAAAUACAGCACCAAGACAACAACAACAAACUUCAAAGAACACAAUUCUUACUUACAAAAGGGACUGCUGCCACUGCCACAAGUGGGUCUUCUGCAGGUCAGAGAGGGUCCUGCCAACACGUGGCCAAGCAGGCAGUAACUCACCUCCCAGGUCAGCUCCAAAGCCCGGAUGCAUUUUAAAAUCCACCAAGAAUCACACACUGCAAUGCUUGCUGCAAGUGCAAGCCCUGAGAUAAGCACAUAUGGAUGUCUGGCCACUGAUGAGUUAUGAGCUCCUCCUUGGAGCUUGGAGGAAUUGGGAAUGCAGUUUGAAAGAAUUCUGUCAGAGGAUGAGAGAAUUCUAGCAAAGGGGAGUAUAUAUAUAUGUAUAUAUUGGUGUUAAUUUGAAGUUCACGUAUGAAGUAGCUAGAAUCAGCGAUACCUGCUUCUAGAGCUGUUACACCCCAUGCCAUCUCAUAUGGCAGAAAAAAACCCUAAUCUUUGACAAAUAAAUCAUUCCUUAAGCACUGUGUUGCCAUUUGAUACUAAGUAGCAGGUGAAAGCUACUAGUCUAGUAUGAAAGCAUCCAGCAAAAUAAACUGGAUAAUAUCAAGUUGAAAUUUGGCUUUGUUUUUCGAGAGUAAAUACAGGAAAAUACCCACUGUAACAGCUUUCCAGGACAGUAGA